UCCUGUUGAAAGUUGCACGCUUGUUGGCGUCGCUUUUAAUUUCCUCAUAUUUCUUCUAGAAAUGAUUCCCUCAUUGUGCAACAUCGAUUUUGACGAAAAAUACAGAUCCCGGUAAUGAGAAAUUCGAGCCAUUAUGACUUGGUCUCCUCGCAAAAGGUUAAUUUUGGAAUUUUCAUGGAUUGAAAAAUCCAUUGAAAAUUUCGAUUUUAUCCGAGAGGAGGGAUCUCCGGGGACAAAUGGCUUGAAAAUUAUCUAACUGGGAUCAAUUCAUCAUUGGAGGAAAUUCUUCGGAAUUAUUCCCUCAUUGUGCAACAUCGAUUUUGACGAAAAAUACAGAUCCCGGUAAUGAGAAAUUCGAGCCAUUAUGACUUGGUCUCCUCGCAAAAGGUUAAUUUUGGAAUUUUCGUGGAUUGAAAAAUCCAUUGAAAAUUUCGAUUUUAUCCGAGAGGAGGGAUCUCCGGGGACAAAUGGCUUGAAAAUUAUCUAACUGGGAUCAAUUCAUCAUUGGAGGAAAUUCUUCGGAAUUUUCCGUGCUAUGUUAGGCACAAAAGUCGUCAGAAAUAAAGAUCCUCUCAACAAGUUAGUUUGAAUAAGAGGAUAAUUUAAUGGAGGGAAUUAAUUAAAAUGAGCCACGAUUGACAAAAGAGAAAGUCAAAUAUAAAAAGAAAAGUUUAGAGUCAGUGUGCGUUUUUAAAUCAUUUUGAUUUAUUUAAAUUUUGUUUUAUUCAAUAAUUACAAAGUUUAGAGUCAGUGCGCGCUUUUAAACCGUUUUAAUUUAUUACUUUUCUAAAUAUUCAGUGUUGCGGGCACUUUACUGUUUAUAUAUGUAAUAAUAUUCAUGGGGUUUUUUUUUUCUUAUUGAAUUUUUGCAAAUUUUAAUAUAUAUUUUUUUAAU